CUGGCUUUGGGGUGAAGAAUAACUAAGGACCCUACAAUAUAUAACAGCCACUGAAAGCUCUGAUCCCCAUGCAACAGGUAGGGUCUACCAAAAAUCCCAUAAACUGGCUCUGGAUGGUCUUGUUUUAACAUCAUCCAAAUUCCCCAUCCAUGACACUUAAUCCAAUUAUCAACUCUCUUUAAUUAUUUCAGGCCAGUGCCAUAUUCUUCAUUCUAGAACACAAUGAAAUAUACUAAUUGCUAUCUAUUAAACAACCAGUAAACUUUUGCCAGACUGUAACACACAAAUCAUUCCAACCCUAUAUCCAAGACAGAACCAUGUGGAUCCAUUCACUAUGAAUAAAGGGGUAGCACGUUCUGCCAAUCUAAC